rnacentral:rRNA from 1 species
GACGAACGCUGGCGGCGUGCUUAACACAUGCAAGUCGAACGGAAAGGCCCUGCUUUUGUGGGGUGCUCGAGUGGCGAACGGGUGAGUAACACGUGAGUAACCUGCCCUUGACUUUGGGAUAACUUCAGGAAACUGGGGCUAAUACCGGAUAGGAGCUCCUGCUGCAUGGUGGGGGUUGGAAAGUUUCGGCGGUUGGGGAUGGACUCGCGGCUUAUCCGCUUGUUGGUGGGGUAGUGGCUUACCAAGGCUUUGACGGGUAGCCGGCCUGAGAGGGUGACCGGCCACAUUGGGACUGAGGAACGGCCCAGACUCCGACGGGAGGCAGCAGGGGGGAAUAUUGCACAAUGGGCGGAAGCCUGAUGCAGCAACGCCGCGUGCGGGAUGACGGCCUUCGGGUUGUAAACCGCUUUCGCCUGUGACGAAGCGUGAGUGACGGUAAUGGGUAAAGAAGCACCGGCUAACUACGUG